rnacentral:tRNA from 1 species
GCCUAUAGCUCAGUGGUUAGAGCUGCGGACUCAUAACCCGUAGGUCGGUGGUUCAAAUCCACCUGGGCC